rnacentral:rRNA from 1 species
UGAGGAAUAUUGGUCAAUGGGCGCAAGCCUGAACCAGCCAUCCCGCGUGCAGGAAGACGGCGCUAUGCGUUGUAAACUGCUUUUCCAGGGGGAGAAACUUGCGCACGUGUUGCGCAAUUGACGGUACCCUGGGAAUAAGCAUCGGCUAACUCCGUGCCAGCAGCCGCGGUAAUACGGAGGAUGCGAGCGUUAUCCGGAUUCAUUGGGUUUAAAGGGUGCGUAGGCGGACUAUUAAGUCAGUGGUGAAAUCCUGCAGC